UAAUUACUAUUUUUAAUAUAAUUUAUUUCUAUAUUUAGCAUAUUAUUUAUUACUAUGAGAACGAUGAAUUAGUUUUAUCAUAUUGUUAAAUUUUUUGAUGAAAAAAAAAACUCAGUGGCUGUUUUUCCUGUAAAGCGGAUAACAAAUGAAUUGUGGAUGACCAUGCUCCUAUAAGACCCACUGCAUUAACCAAGCCAUUGAAAAGUGUGAAGAUUAUAUAGAUGAUUGGAUUGAUUAUGAUUUAAAUUUUUUGUAUAACUCUGUUUUUGGGGUCUUAAGUGGCAUCCAAGAGAUUUUUAUCUGUGAUAUGGUUUCUUGCUGAUAUAAGCAAACGAACACUUUAUUGUACUGUUAACGACGAGGAAUGUUUGAUCAAAUUCAAUGGAGUUAUUGAUUCAAAUAAGAAAGUUAUGUAUGUACUGACACAUGGCAUUUGUUAUCCCACUGUAAGUUAAAACUAGUUGUAAAAUUAAAAAAUUUAUAUUGGAACUUUUUUUUCUUUUAACAUUCAUGUUUAUUUAUUUAUACUAUCUUAGAAUUUGCUGCUUUAGAGGCAUGGCAUUUAGUGUCACAUUGUAGGUUUAAAUUGGUUGUAGAAUUUAUAUUGUAACUUGCAUAUUUAUUUAGUUGAGUUUAAUCUAAGUUUAUAUCUGAUGUGUUUGUAUUAUUUUAGAAUUUACUGUUUUAGACACGUGGCAUGUGGUAUCCCACUGUAAGUUUGAAUUAGUAUAUUUUAAAACAAAUUAUAUUUUAACUUGCAUUUCUUUUGACGUUCAUGUUUAUAUAAUUAGAUUACAACUAAGUUUGUGUAUGGCUUGUUUAUAUUAUUUCAGAAUUUGCUAUUUUAGACACUUGUUAUAAGCUGUCAUACUGUAAGUUUAAAUUGGUUGUAAAAUUUAUAUUGUAACUUGCAUUUCUAUUGGCGUGCUUAUUUAUUUAGUUGAGUUUCAACUAUUAAUAAUGAUAAUAAUAAUAAUAAGUUUAUAUCUGGCGUGUUUAUAUUAUUUUAAAGUUUACUAUUUUAGACACGUGGUAUGUGGUAUCCCACUAAUUAGCUAUUUUAAACAUGUGACAAGUGGUAUGACACUGUAAGUUUAAGUAUUGAUGUAUGUGAAAUGUAUAGAGUCUUUUAGUUAUCAGAUAAUGUCAAGGAGUUGACAGCAUGGUGUUCGAUUUAAAGUGCGAACCUGUGUACGAGUAACAACAGUAUUCAAAACCAAAACCUAUUUAAACCAACCAAACCAAAACUAGCGAC